AUUGAACGCUGGCGGCAGGCCUAACACAUGCAAGUCGAGCGGAUGAAGGGAGCUUGCUCCUGGAUUCAGCGGCGGACGGGUGAGUAAUGCCUAGGAAUCUGCCUGGUAGUGGGGGAUAACGUCCGGAAACGGGCGCUAAUACCGCAUACGUCCUGAGGGAGAAAGUGGGGGAUCUUCGGACCUCACGCUAUCAGAUGAGCCUAGGUCGGAUUAGCUAGUUGGUGGGGUAAAGGCCUACCAAGGCGACGAUCCGUAACUGGUCUGAGAGGAUGAUCAGUCACACUGGAACUGAGCCACGGUCCAGACUCCUACGGGAGGCAGCAGUGGGGAAUAUUGGACAAUGGGCGAAAGCCUGAUCCAGCCAUGCCGAGUGUGUGAAGAAGGUCUUCGGAUUGUAAAGCACUUUAAGUUGGGAGGAAGGGCAGUAAGUUAAUACCUUGCUGUUUUGACGUUACCAACAGAAUAAGCACCGGCUAACUUCGUG
rnacentral:rRNA from 1 species